rnacentral:rRNA from 1 species
UACGUAGGGGGCGAGCGUUAUCCAGAAUUAUUGGGCGUAAAGAGUGCGUAGGUGGUUGUUUAAGCGUGGGGUGAAAGGCAAUGGCUUAACCAUUGUGAGCCUCGCGAACUGGGCGACUUGAGUGCAGGAGAGGAAAGCGGAAUUCCUAGCGUAGCGGUGAAAUGCGUAGAUAUUUGGAAGAACACCGGUGGCGAAGGCGGCCUUCUGGGCCACGACUGACGCUGAGGCGCGAAAGCUAGGGGAGCGAACAGGAUUAGAUACCCUGGUAGUCCCU